GGGCAACCUGCCCAAAAGAGGGGGAUAACACUUGGAAACAGGUGCUAAUACCGCAUAACCAUAGUUACCGCAUGGUAGCUAUGUAAAAGGUGGCUAUGCUACCGCUUUUGGAUGGGCCCGCGGCGCAUUAGCUAGUUGGUGGGGUAAAGGCUUACCAAGGCAAUGAUGCGUAGCCGAACUGAGAGGUUGAUCGGCCACAUUGGGACUGAGACACGGCCCAAACUCCUACGGGAGGCAGCAGUAGGGAAUCUUCCACAAUGGGCGAAAGCCUGAUGGAGCAACGCCGCGUGGGUGAAGAAGGUCUUCGGAUCGUAAAACCCUGUUGUUAGAGAAGAAAGUGCGUGAGAGUAACUGUUCACGUUUCGACGGUAUCUAACCAGAAAGCCACGGCUAACUACGUGCCAGCAGCCGCGGUAAUACGUAGGUGGCAAGCGUUAUCCGGAUUUAUUGGGCGUAAAGGGAACGCAGGCGGUCUUUUAAGUCUGAUGUGAAGGCCUUCGGCUUAACCGGAGUAGUGCAUUGGAAACUGGGAGACUUGAGUGCAGAAGAGGAGAGUGGAACUCCAUGUGUAGCGGUGAAAUGCGUAGAUAAAUGGAAGAACACCAGUGGCGAAAGCGGCUCUCUGGUCUGUAACUGACGCUGAGGUUCGAAAGCGUGGGUAGCAAACAGGAUUAGAUACCCUGGUAGUCCACGCCGUA
rnacentral:rRNA from 1 species